CGGGACACGUGGUAUCCUGUCUGAAUAUGGGGGGACCAUCCUCCAAGGCUAAAUACUCCUGACUGACCGAUAGUGAACCAGUACCGUGAGGGAAAGGCGAAAAGAACCCCGGCGAGGGGAGUGAAAAAGAACCUGAAACCGUGUACGUACAAGCAGUGGGAGCACGCUUAGGCGUGUGACUGCGUACCUUUUGUAUAAUGGGUCAGCGACUUAUAUUCUGUAGCAAGGUUAACCGAAUAGGGGAGCCGAAGGGAAACCGAGUCUUAACUGGGCGUUAAGUUGCAGGGUAUAGACCCGAAACCCGGUGAUCUAGCCAUGGGCAGGUUGAAGGUUGGGUAACACUAACUGGAGGACCGAACCGACUAAUGUUGAAAAAUUAGCGGAUGACUUGUGGCUGGGGGUGAAAGGCCAAUCAAACCGGGAGAUAGCUGGUUCUCCCCGAAAGCUAUUUAGGUAGCGCCUCGUGAAUUCAUCUCCGGGGGUAGAGCACUGUUUCGGCAAGGGGGUCAUCCCGACUUACCAACCCGAUGCAAACUGCGAAUACCGGAGAAUGUUAUCACGGGAGACACACGGCGGGUGCUAACGUCCGUCGUGAAGAGGGAAACAACCCAGACCGCCAGCUAAGGUCCCAAAGUCAUGGUUAAGUGGGAAACGAUGUGGGAAGGCCCAGACAGCCAGGAUGUUGGCUUAGAAGCAGCCAUCAUUUAAAGAAAGCGUAAUAGCUCACUGGUCGAGUCGGCCUGCGCGGAAGAUGUAACGGGGCUAAACCAUGCACCGAAGCUGCGGCAGCGACGCUUAUGCGUUGUUGGGUAGGGGAGCGUUCUGUAAGCCUGUGAAGGUGUACUGUGAGGUAUGCUGGAGGUAUCAGAAGUGCGAAUGCUGACAUAAGUAACGAUAAAGCGGGUGAAAAGCCCGCUCGCCGGAAGACCAAGGGUUCCUGUCCAACGUUAAUCGGGGCAGGGUGAGUCGACCCCUAAGGCGAGGCCGAAAGGCGUAGUCGAUGGGAAACAGGUUAAUAUUCCUGUACUUGGUGUUACUGCGAAGGGGGGACGGAGAAGGCUAUGUUGGCCGGGCGACGGUUGUCCCGGUUUAAGCGUGUAGGCUGGUUUUCCAGGCAAAUCCGGAAAAUCAAGGCUGAGGCGUGAUGACGAGGCACUACGGUGCUGAAGCAACAAAUGCCCUGCUUCCAGGAAAAGCCUCUAAGCAUCAGGUAACAUCAAAUCGUACCCCAAACCGACACAGGUGGUCAGGUAGAGAAUACCAAGGCGCUUGAGAGAACUCGGGUGAAGGAACUAGGCAAAAUGGUGCCGUAACUUCGGGAGAAGGCACGCUGAUAUGUAGGUGAAGUCCCUCGCGGAUGGAGCUGAAAUCAGUCGAAGAUACCAGCUGGCUGCAACUGUUUAUUAAAAACACAGCACUGUGCAAACACGAAAGUGGACGUAUACGGUGUGACGCCUGCCCGGUGCCGGAAGGUUAAUUGAUGGGGUCAGCGCAAGCGAAGCUCUUGAUCGAAGCCCCGGUAAACGGCGGCCGUAACUAUAACGGUCCUAAGGUAGCGAAAUUCCUUGUCGGGUAAGUUCCGACCUGCACGAAUGGCGUAAUGAUGGCCAGGCUGUCUCCACCCGAGACUCAGUGAAAUUGAACUCGCUGUGAAGAUGCAGUGUACCCGCGGCAAGACGGAAAGACCCCGUGAACCUUUACUAUAGCUUGACACUGAACAUUGAGCCUUGAUGUGUAGGAUAGGUGGGAGGCUUUGAAGUGUGGACGCCAGUCUGCAUGGAGCCGACCUUGAAAUACCACCCUUUAAUGUUUGAUGUUCUAACGUGGACCCGUAAUCCGGGUUGCGGACAGUGUCUGGUGGGUAGUUUGACUGGGGCGGUCUCCUCCUAAAGAGUAACGGAGGAGCACGAAGGUUGGCUAAUCCUGGUCGGACAUCAGGAGGUUAGUGCAAUGGCAUAAGCCAGCUUGACUGCGAGCGUGACGGCGCGAGCAGGUGCGAAAGCAGGUCAUAGUGAUCCGGUGGUUCUGAAUGGAAGGGCCAUCGCUCAACGGAUAAAAGGUACUCCGGGGAUAACAGGCUGAUACCGCCCAAGAGUUCAUAUCGACGGCGGUGUUUGGCACCUCGAUGUCGGCUCAUCACAUCCUGGGGCUGAAGUAGGUCCCAAGGGUAUGGCUGUUCGCCAUUUAAAGUGGUACGCGAGCUGGGUUUAGAACGUCGUGAGACAGUUCGGUCCCUA
rnacentral:rRNA from 1 species